UAGGCCCAGAGCUGCGCACAGCCUCAGAACCAGAUGGUCUGUUAGCCCCGAUCUGAGCCAGGACCCCCAGACCCCACCCAUCCGGCCUCCCCGCCUCUACUCUUCCUCGCCGCAGUCGAGGGGCCAGGAAGAUGGACGAGAGGAAGAGGGCGCCCGGGACCUCAGCUAAGGUUUAGGACGAGGAAGCCUGUGUGCAGGAUGAAGACGUGCCUCCUAUUGGCCAAACCCACUUGGAAGCCAGAGGACAAGGAUGUCCAUUGAUACGGUCUGUAGAGGGGGCCUGGAUUCAAUCCCUGGUCAGGAAACUAG
ensembl:lncRNA